UACGUAGGGCGCAAGCGUUGUCCGGAAUUAUUGGGCGUAAAGAGCUCGUAGGCGGCUUGUCACGUCGAUUGUGAAAGCCCGAGGCUUAACCUCGGGUCUGCAGUCGAUACGGGCUAGCUAGAGUGUGGUAGGGGAGAUCGGAAUUCCUGGUGUAGCGGUGAAAUGCGCAGAUAUCAGGAGGAACACCGGUGGCGAAGGCGGAUCUCUGGGCCGAAAUUGACGCUGAGGAGCGAAAGCGUGGGGAGCAAACAGG
rnacentral:rRNA from 1 species